rnacentral:tRNA from 16 species
CGGGGCGUAGCGCAGCCUGGUAGCGCGCCUGCUUUGGGAGCAGGAUGUCGGAGGUUCGAAUCCUCUCGCCCCGACCA